rnacentral:rRNA from 1 species
UACGUAGGGGGCAAGCGUUGUCCGGAAUCAUUGGGCGUAAAGCGCGCGUAGGCGGCCCGAUCAGUCCGCUGUGAAAACUCGGGGCUUAACCUCGGGCCUGCAGUGGAUACGGGCAGACUAGAGGUAUGCAGGGGAGAACGGAAUUCCUGGUGUAGCGGUGAAAUGCGCAGAUAUCAGGAGGAACACCGGUGGCGAAGGCGGUUCUCUGGGCAUGAUCUGACGCUGAGGAGCGAAAGUGUGGGGAGCGAACAGG